rnacentral:ncRNA from 1 species
AAGCUGCCUGCAUGUUCGCUGAUUCGUCAGCACAUGCCAGCAGCCAGGGUUCCAGGCUGCCGCGGGUCUCUCCCGCGUCACCCACCAGUCCGCAUCGCAUCAAUUCUGCGGAUGAGCGUCCCCGUGACGCUGAUGC